CCUCGCCCGUGCUGCCGACACGGUCGCCGCGAAGAGCGAGCUUUUAGCUGCCCGAUACACUAGCUCCUCUCGAUUAGGCUCACGAAACGUGAUCACCUUACUUUCGCAAUCUAUCGCGGCAUAAUACUUGGAGAGCCAAUUGGUCCCCAAGAUCACGUCGAAACCCCACAUUCGAUUCAACACCAACAAGUCGAUCGGCAUGACCCAAUCACCUAUCUGCACUGGGCACGCUACACACUCUUCGUGAACAUGAAAAGUAUGCUCGAC
rnacentral:lncRNA from 1 species